UACGUAGGGUGCGAGCGUUGUCCGGAAUUAUUGGGCGUAAAGAGCUUGUAGGCGGUUUGUCGCGUCUGCUGUGAAAAUCCGGGGCUCAACCCCGGACUUGCAGUGGGUACGGGCAGACUAGAGUGUGGUAGGGGAGACUGGAAUUCCUGGUGUAGCGGUGAAAUGCGCAGAUAUCAGGAGGAACACCGAUGGCGAAGGCGGGAUCCUGGGCCAGUACUGACGCUGAGGAGCGAAAGCGUGGGGAGCAAACAGG
rnacentral:rRNA from 1 species